UGGGGAAUUGUUCGCAAUGGGCGCAAGCCUGACGACGCAACGCCGCGUGGAGGAUGAAGAUCUUCGGGUCGUAAACUCCUUUCGAUCGAGACGAACGGCUUCCGGGUGAACAAUCCGGGAGAGUGACGGUACCGAGAGAAGAAGCCCCGGCUAACUCCGUGCCAGCAGCCGCGGUAAUACGGGGGGGGCAAGCGUUGUUCGGAAUUACUGGGCGUAAAGGGCUAGUAGGUGGCUAACUAAGUCAGACGUGAAAUCCCUCGGCUUAACCGAGGAAUGGCGUCUGAUACUGGAUAGCUUGAGUUUGGGAGAGGGAUGCGGAAUUCCAGGUGUAGCGGUGAAAUGCGUAGAUAUCUGGAGGAACACCGGUGGCGAAGGCGGCAUCCUGGACCAAUACUGACACUGAAUAGCGAAAGCCAGGGGAGCAAACGGGAUUAGAUACCCCCGUAGUCC
rnacentral:rRNA from 1 species